UACGUAGGGGGCAAGCGUUGUCCGGAAUCAUUGGGCGUAAAGCGCGUGUAGGCGGCUUUACAGGUCCGUUGUGAAAACUCGAGGCUCAACCUCGAGACGCCGGUGGAAACCGUAAGGCUAGAGUCCGGAAGAGGAGAGUGGAAUUCCUGGUGUAGCGGUGAAAUGCGCAGAUAUCAGGAGGAACACCCGUGGCGAAAGCGGCUCUCUGGGACGGUACUGACGCUGAGACGCGAAAGCGUGGGGAGCAAACAGG
rnacentral:rRNA from 1 species